rnacentral:rRNA from 1 species
GAUGAACGCUGGCGGCGUGCCUAAUACAUGCAAGUCGAGCGAACAGACGAGGAGCUUGCUCCUCUGACGUUAGCGGCGGACGGGUGAGUAACACGUGGAUAACCUACCUAUAAGACUGGGAUAACUUCGGGAAACCGGAGCUAAUACCGGAUAACAUGUUGAACCGCAUGGUUCAACAGUGAAAGACGGUCUUGCUGUCACUUAUAGAUGGAUCCGCGCCGCAUUAGCUAGUUGGUAAGGUAACGGCUUACCAAGGCAACGAUGCGUAGCCGACCUGAGAGGGUGAUCGGCCACACUGGAACUGAGACACGGUCCAGACUCCUACGGGAGGCAGCAGUAGGGAAUCUUCCGCAAUGGGCGAAAGCCUGACGGAGCAACGCCGCGGGAGUGAAGAAGGUCUUCGGAUCGUAAAACUCUGUUAUUAGGGAAGAACAAAUGUGUAAGUAACGAUGCACGUCUUGACGGUACCUAAGCAGAAAGCCACGGCUAACUACGU